CAUUGGACUAUGAUGUGAUCUUGGGGAUCGUCAAUGAUCACCACCACUGGACAUUAACGGUCAUGUAGAGGUCAUGUAGAGGUCAUGUAUCCAGCCCAAAAGAGGGGCCAGUUCUUGGGUCCAUUAGGGGAGUCCACUGUCAAAGUGAAAAGGUGCACGGAGAUAACAAGAAGGUUCUUAAAAAGUAAAGGAUGCAACAUUUCCAAGUUGAAGUGCAACUCACCCCCAGCAACCAGAUGGCACCUCAUGUGGGGUGUUUGCCUUAAAGUUUGCUGAAAGCAUUUUGAGCUCAGAAGAUGCCAUCUCCUUCGCAACCACCAAACAGGCUAUUGAAGAGCACAGAUGGAACAACUCUGACCCAACAAACUGAUGACCUUAGCGCUAUCUGUUGCUAUUGUGCUGGCCAGAGGGACGAGUACACAUACUGGAUCGCCUGUGAUGUGUGUAACCGGUGGUUCCACCAUGAAUGUGUGGGCAGACCACCUACACACAGAACAUACAUUUGUGGUGGGUGCAUAUGAAAUCCCCAACAGCUGCCUUAAAAAAGCCCCUCUUUAGGCAAACAGUUUAUUUGCAGGGUGUGUGGCAUCCUUCAUGAUGCAGGAGUCCUUUUUCCUGCACCUGCCGUCUCUGUUAUGUGCCCCCCAAGGUAUUUAAAGGAAGGGACCACCUUAACAGCUGCUCCUUGGAUAUAAAGGGGAGUGGGUGUAGUGCCUGACUUUCUUAAGUCCCUUUUGUAAGUGUUGAGGGACAGGUUAUUUGUUUUGAACCAGACCUCAAGGAAUGUAUGUAAAGUUUUUGUAUUUAAUGUAAUAAUGAUGUACUGCUUUCAAGAAAAAUAUAAACAUAACUAUGUACAUUUCACCUUUCUUUUUUAUUUCAUGUUUCCAGGGGAAGAAAAUCAGGACAUACAUAUUAAUGAUUAUGACUUGGAGAAAUGACUUGGUCAGCAUGCAAAUACAAGAUCUUAAUCUUCCUAAAAUGCU